AAACAGUAUCAUCAUCAUCAGUUUCAUAAAUUCAGAUUCUACAUUCCUUCCGCAGAAGUUAUUACUGUUGGGCGCACUGUACCCUCUGUGCACCACCAGGCAUAUCAUCAUCCUCCUCAUAUGCUUCCUGAGCAGCUUGUUGCUGCCUCCUCCUAGACUCCUCAUCCAUAUUGACAUCAUGAAGUGUGGUCUCCUCACAUUCGUCCAGCUCCAUGUCUGUUAACUGAGAAGGCUGCUUUGGGGGCAGAACGGCUUCCAAAGCCUUAACCUGAUCAGGAUUUAGAAAAUCUGGGAAUUCCACAGUGAAGUGAAGAUAAAGCUUCCCCUUCAUGAAUGGCCUCUGGUACAUGGGCAUCCCCUCGUCAUUAAUAGCCUUGUAUGAAUCUGCAUGUGUAGACCUUACAAAAGUUAAUGAUCACAGAUAAAUAGAAACCUAAAAGGAUUACAUGUGAAUCAUUUAUGUACCAGGUUUCACAACUUCCCCAGGAUUUGAUUUGAUAAGAAGCUGACGGCCAUCCAAGUGGGUCAGGACAAAUUGGAAACCACACAAAGCCUCAGUGAGAGACAAG
rnacentral:lncRNA from 1 species